rnacentral:misc_RNA from 1 species
CUUCGCUGCCAGCCUUCUACUAUGAAAGUCCGCCUCCGCCCCUCCUUCGCUGCUAGCCUGCUACUCGUCACGCCCAUCUCAUUCAUUCCGUCUCAGCCUCGCAGUCGCAGCGCCGUUGCGGACGCAGCCACGCAGGCGCAGGAGGCAGGACGGGACCUCGCCCUCCCCUGCCUUGCCUUUGAGUGCUUCCACUCCACCUCAUCAGUCGCCGCCCCCGCCGCGCCGCGGGCCCCUCCACCUACCCUCGACGCCCGCCCUUCUUGGCCCAGCGCCCCUGCACAUCUGCCUGCCCCCCUCGGCCGCUGGCGGCGGCGGCGAUCGCGGGUAGCCGCACCAACCGGGUUGAGCAUGUAGAAGGACUCGGAAUCCCUGGACCCCACGACGCGAUCGAAGUGCGCGCGCAUGUACGCCAGGUCGCCGGCGUCCUGCCCCUCGGGGGCGCCUACGGCGUCGGCCGGCAGCACGCCGGCGCCCGCCGACACCGUGCGCAGGAGCUGCAGGACCGUGAGGUCGUCCUCCGUGGGCUCCCGGCGCACGGCGUACCCAAUCUUGCGGCCGUUGACGUAGGCCGUCCACAGCGGCUCGUGGAGCAGCCUGGUGCGUCCGGCGCCUGGCGGCGGCUUCUUCUCGCACUCGAGCGCGACGCGCAGGUGCUCGGCGCCCAUCUCCUGCAUGAACCUCCCGGUCUGCAUGGCGAGCUCCAGCAGCAGCACGGGCACGCUCCCGGGCGUCUCCUGCACCGCCAGCGUCACCCGCGC